CCUUAUUGCUGCAAAAAACGAGUGACUUUCUUUCCCGAAGCAAACAAAAUUGUUGGGCACUUAAAACUUAUAGAAAUUAAAUGAUUCUGCUCACAAUUCUAAUGUCAUCUUGUCAUUACAUAAAUGGAAUCUCCCUUGCGAAGCAUAUUCAACCGCUCAAAUCGCUACUGGAAGUCGGAAUCAGAUCGUGCUCUUCCGCAAAGCUUCGUCGGAUAAUAUCACCAAGAAGACCAUAAAAUGGAAGCCAGAUCGGCGCAAUUGAAGCUUCGAGAUACAGUUGGAAUACAGCAUUUUGUGGCAGUUCAGGUGAGGUUUAAAUUUAGCUUUUAUCAUGCAUCGCGUGUGGCCGGUGCCCCGUCCCCUACUGCUGCUGCUGCACGUCCACAUUCCAACCACCGCCAGCCAAGUACGCCUGCCGCCUGCCGCCCUGCUCCCUAGUCGGUCCGACAUUGGCACUGCGCAUGUGCCAGUUUUCGCAUUGCGACGGCCCCGGGAAACGUCCCGCUUUUCCGCUGAUGGAAUUUCUCGUACAUGACGCCACUUUAAAAGUUCUCAGUGGAUGCCGAGCCAUAUGGCGAAAGAUAGGCAACAGCCCAUCGCACAUGUGGCAGCUGUGUGGCUGUAUGGGUGCGCUCCAGAGGUUGUGUAAGUGCGUGGCGGCUGCUAUAGCUGCUGGCGAGGGAAUGAAUGCAACGCGGUGGCCAUAUCGAGGCGACCCAGUCGGCUCAUCAUCAUCGGCUUAUGGCAGCCAUGAUGCACAGGAAGGUGAGGGGCCGGGUUACUGCAGUGCAGC
rnacentral:lncRNA from 1 species